rnacentral:rRNA from 1 species
CUUGGUCAUUUAGAGGAAGUAAAAGUCGUAACAAGGUUUCCGUAGGUGAACCUGCGGAAGGAUCAUUCAUAAUAAGUGUUUAUGGCACUUUUUAAAUCCAUAUCCACCUUGUGUGCAAUGUCAGCCGUCUUUUCUUUAUGAAAAGGCAGCCAAACAUCAACUUAUUUUUUUAACUGUCUGUCUGAAAACUAUUAUGAAUAAACAAUUCAAAUACAACUUUCAACAACGGAUCUCUUGGCUCUCGCAUCGAUGAAGAACGCAGCGAAAUGCGAUACGUAAUGUGAAUUGCAGAAUUCAGUGAAUCAUCGAAUCUUUGAACGCAUAUUGCGCUCUUUGGUAUUCCGAAGAGCAUGCUUGUUUGAGUAUCAGUAAACACCUCAAAGCUUUUGGAUUUUUUAAUCGAAAAGCUUUGGACUUGAGCAAUCCCAACACCAAUCUUUUUGAGAUCGGUGGCGGGUUGCUUGAAAUGCAGGUGCAGCUGGACAUUCUCCUGAGCUAAAAGCAUAUUCAUUUAGUCCCGUCAAACGGAUUAUUACUUUUGCUGCAGCUAACAUAAAGGGAGUUUGACCGUAUUGGCUGACUGAUGCAGGAUUUCACAAGGGUCGGCAACGAUUCUUGUUAAACUCGAUCUCAAAUCAAGUAAGACUACCCGCUGAACUUAAGCAUAUCAAUAAGCGGAGGA